rnacentral:rRNA from 1 species
CCUACGGGGGGCUGCAGUGGGGAAUAUUGGACAAUGGGCGAAAGCCUGAUCCAGCAACGCCGCGUGAGGGAUGACGGCCUUCGGGUUGUAAACCUCUUUCAGUAGGGACGAAGCGAAAGUGACGGUACCUACAGAAGAAGGACCGGCCAACUACGUGCCAGCAGCCGCGGUAAUACGUAGGGUCCGAGCGUUGUCCGGAAUUAUUGGGCGUAAAGGGCUCGUAGGCGGUUUGUCACGUCGGGAGUGAAAACUCAGGGCUCAACCCUGAGCGUGCU